CACACAGAGAGAAAGGGAACACAAGCAGGGGGAGUGGGAGAGGGAGAAGCAGGCUUCCCGCGGAGCAGGGAGCCCGAUGUGGGGCUCGAUCCCAGGACCCUGGGAUCAUGACCUGAGCCGAAGGCAGACGCUUAACUGACUGAGCCACCCAGGCGCCCUAGAUGAAAACAUUUUUAAUUAUCUCUGGCAAAAGGCAAAGCUGUAACAGCAUUGAAUCAUGGUUUCUUGAAGGCACAAUAAAAUACAGAUUCCCCCGGUGAUUUCAGUUGGCACCGAAGUGACCACGUAGUGCUGGGUGUGGGGGUGGGGAGUGGUGGAUUUGUGUCACCCCGUUUCCUUGGCCACACCACUCUGGGGCACAAACAGAGUGACGCCACACAGCGUGGCCCUGCCCUUAGUCAGCACUGCAGAAGGCCGGCGCCCCCACCCCUCCGGCUGUUCAUGGGGAUCCCCAGGGCUGGCCAUGUGUGCUCUCCUGCGUGAUCCUCGCAGCUGCCAUGUGACCCCUGCACUCAGCUGGCUCCCUGUCGCCGUGUGUGUUGGGCCACGAUGCAUCCAUUUCCACUGAGGACACCCAUGCCCCUGAGCUGUAAUAGCCAUAUGCUGCAGAGCCACGAAACGUGUCCCCUGCUGCUGUAGCUGUUGGCACGCGUCUCUGUCUCUCUCUCCUGUCCACUUACUGUGAUGCCUCUCUCCCAUUCUUCUUCUGUCCAGAUUGGGCUGAGGUGGUCCUGGCACAAGCUCUCGCCAUUUGGGGUUCCAGCCAUUUUCACCCCAACCCCAGCCAGAAGUCACCAUGACUCCCUCCCGUGUCUCCAUCCAAACGCUGCCCACUGGGGCUCCUGGCACGGUCAUGCUCUUGUUUCCUUCUGUCUCUUCUCCUUUAGGACAUAGCCACUGGGGGCAAGACCAGAAAUGUCCUGAGUUCAGAUAAAGUGUGGUGCUUGUCACCCCUUUCCUCUCCAAUGUGAGUCUAUUAACUUGAACCAAGCUUGUGUGACAGACUUUAUUCCCCUGGACUAGAGCCUUAGGUCCCGGGAUGGGGGACCUUCUGUCGGCAAUGCCCAGGUAUGAGAAUGCAGGGGGAACAUGGCUGGAAUCUGAGCGGGGACGCCAGUGACAGCAACAUGUCCCUAAUACCAUUCCCGUCAAUUGUUUGUUUGCGCUUUGAUCCUGUCUGAAGCCAGCCUCUUCCAGAAAGUGCACAUUCCUCUUCUGGCCUUACAUCUUCCCGGAAAGGUGACUCCAUUUGAGUCACAAGAGUCCCGGUUGCUUAACGGGAGCUUCAUGCGGGCUGUUUGAGGUGUUAUUUCUGCUUUUUAUAAUCACUCAGGAAGGGAAGUGCUGGUCUCCAAAUUUUAAAGAUGAAGAGGUUAAGCGGUAAGGUUAAGUGACUCUCCCAGGGCCACACUGGGCGACUGGUGGAGCUGAUUCAAGGCCAGAUUCAUGGGAACCGAGCCUGGUCUCAUCUUGAUGAAACGGUCGAGUAUUCCACGGUCCUUGGAACCAGAGCCUUCUUAUAAACAGUUCUCUUCAGGCACAUUCAAAUAUUUUCAUCUUCUUUUCUGAGCAUUUAAGACACAGAUACGAGCUCCCAACACACAGCUUCUUGAAUCCUGGCAUAAAGUCUGCUCCUGGACUUUUUAUCUUUGGACAUUAAUUCCAUACAUUCAUCAUUUUUUAACUAAGGGAAGCUUCUGGCUUUUGUAUACUAGGAAUGCCUCCCAGGGGUUGAUCAAUCCAAAUUCCUUCCCUUCACAUGGCUCCUUCCUGUAGAACCCCUUGGGCUUGCCCAGGCGGAGGAAGACCUUUCUGCGCCCUAUUAGCACCCCCCUAAGCCCUUUCUCUGAAAUGGACAUUUCUUGGUCUAUCUUUUUUCCUUUUCCACACGCUCAGUUCCAUUUAGGGAUUCCUGUGCUGCCCACACCUGCCUCCUCAGUGGAGCACGUGACCAUCUCCUGAUCAUGGGAUUGAUUCGCUCAGUUUAGGCCCCGAGUGCCACUCCUGAACCAGACCGAGUCCUAGGACCCUUUCCACAAGCACUGGGGCAAAGUCGCUAUCUCUUUUUGGCUGGAUCUGAACAAGGAAGCAUGUGACACUGGUCAUCUUCAGACUGUGAAGGAGGGCAGCCAAGGCCCCAGAAGACAAAAGGGGGAGGCAUGGUUAGGGAGCCCGGGGACGGAGCCACGGAGAGGGAGCUUCCUGAGGCAAACCCCCUCAGGGAGUUUUCAAUCAUGUGAGACAAUUGACUUCCUUCCCUGUUUGGGCCUGAUGGAGCCAUCUUUUCUGUUGCUUGUGUUACAAGCACGGCAGACAUACAUUGUGCAAUACUGAAUUGCGUUUUUAAUAUCUCUCCUGCUAGAUGGCAACCUGCCUGAUGCCCGAGACACUAUUGUUUGAGUGAAUAAAUGAAGGGGCCAAAGAAAUGAGGGACGAGAACCCAGUUGCUCGUGUAUGUUGAGGGCUCAUUUAAGGCCGUUGCCACUUCCCUAACUAUUCAUUUCUCCUCCCAAUUCAUAGCCAGUUACCAGUUAAGAGCUGAAUCCCUUGAGGAAACCUGAAUCAUGAUAUGCAUGGCCAGAAAUGGAGCUCUUCUUGCUGGCAAGUUCCCACUCCUCGGAACUUACAAAAUCUUGCAAAGUAAGAAAUAGCUCAAAGAGAAUGCCGAGGAUGAACCUGCAUCUCUUAUCACGCAAUAAACAGAACAAGCUCUGAUGCGUCCGUUUUUCAAAUCAGGAUCUUGGCAAGGAAACAUUUUGGAGGAGUCCUCUGCAGGGAUGUUGCCACUUGACUCUAAGCUCAGAAAGAUUGGUAUUUGGAGGCCCCCACAGCCCCCUGCUCCACAAACGAAGGCACAGGAUGAGGUGAGAAGCCAUGGAAUGAUAUGGGAGUACACAUGAGGGGCACCUAUGUCCCUAGACUUCCCAAAGGAAAUGAUGCAUGAGGAUGAGCUCCAAGAGUUAGCCAAGGAAGAAGGGAUGGGGGAGAGUCUACAGAGAGUGUUUCAGGCAGGAACAGCCUGUGUGAAGGCCUGAAGUUUCAGAAGAGAGUUGCCAGAUCAAGUGAAAUCAGAAAAGAAUUGAACUUGGCGUUUGGGGUUCCUGGAUUUCAAGGACAGAAACGGUACUGGAAUCAACACGAACUGGGUCUUCUGGACAUAGAUUGGCUUGUCCUGAAAUUUGCAGAGCUGUUAGGAACAUAAAGCCUGCCUUUUUAGGGUCACAGCAAAAUGGAGCAGAAGAUACAGAGUUUCCACGUGCCACCAUAUCUACACGUGUGCAACCUCCCCCACUGUCUGUAUCCUACACCAGAGCUUCACAUUAGGUGAACAUGAUGUACUGGAUAAAAAGGAACUGUGGCAAGCAGGCCUUUCAUCAUGUCAUGGUAAGGUGUGGGGGAGGAAAAGCAUUUUGUGGUCCCAUGACUGGAGUUGGGUAUUUUCCUUCUGGCAGGUGGGUUAGGCCCUGACAAAACCCUGGCAAGUUAGGCUCUGGUUAAAUAGUUUCACAGGGCAUGUCUUGUUAGAAGAACAGAAUGCUCUGGAUUAUUUCAAAAUGGUGCCUGUUUCCUGACUCCUGCUGGAAGCAUGAGGGGAUUUUCCUCAACAUCAUUGUGAGAACCUCGUAGAACUCCUAGAGGUAAAACUCACAGAAGCUUGGGACCCCCCCCCCCACAUAGCUGGAUCCCCCUGGAGUAUUUAGCUCUCAGACUUGUCCACUGCUAGCCUUCGACGAUCAUCACCGACAGCCCAGGUUUUCCCCCCACAGAGGUUUCUGCUCAUGGGCUUCUGCUCCAGUAGUUGACAUUCUCUGUAAUUGCCUCUCUGCCUCUCUUCAAUUUGGGGAGCAUUGGUUUGCUCUGUGACCUCACUUUUUCAACAGAUCUAAGAAGAGUUGCUGAUUUUUCAGUAUGUUUAACUCUUUACUCACUGUUAGGAUGGAAUGACAACUUUUAAGCUUUGUGCAUGCCAGACCAGAACCAGAACUCCCUCUCAUUUGUUUUUAAACUUUAAAAGUAUUGAAUGAAUACCCAUAUUAUAAAAUGAGUCAGAAUCCAACUAUAGUGGUGUUAAAAAGACACAAACACACUUUAUUUCUAAAUCAAGUUUCCCCCAGGCUGGUGUAGGUGUUUUCUCUCUUCCUCUUUGUGCUGUCUCUCUUAGGGGUCUUUGCAUGGGAAAGGCAAGAAUCUGAGUCCUGGGAUGGAUAUAAUAGCUGGUGAGGACCUCCUGCCCCUCAACCUUCCCACCUCUCAGAUUCUGGAAUCCCUCAACCAGGACUGGGUUUUGGCUUCUUCUUCAGGAGCUCUUGACCAGGCUAUGGAAACGGUGACUGUUUUGUGAACCCCACACUCAGGGCAGGAGGAGGUCUCCAUUCCAGCUGUUGUCUGGUCUGUUGGGACUCCCUUGAGAAAAAGGUAAGAUGGAUAGUACGUGGAACAUAGAGCGAGGUGUGGAAGGUAAGCGUGGUGACGGAGCACAUCCUGGGCCACAUGAGGCCCAGACCUUAGUCCCAGUUCUGCCACGAACUCAUUGUUAAACACCAGGUCACUCACUCAUAUCCAUCGGCCUCAUUUGAGGUUGGAUUCGGUGCUCCCUAGUGCUCGUCUCUGGUCUCAGCUCUGACUGUCUAUGGAUAUGCUCCUCGAGGCCGGGAGGAAACCCCUAAGGGUUCUGUGAAAGCGACGUCUCUCAAUCAGCGAGGCUGCUCGCUGGCAGAAAGGCCUAGAAGUAGCCCCCGAGGCACAUCAUUUCCCGUGCUCACCGGUGUGCUGCCCAUUUGGGGGCCCUGGGAAGUGCUUACUCCAAAGCCCAAAGCACAUUCUAGGAAACUUCACCCGGCUCUCUCUUUCUAGAAGUCAACCUGGGGCAAAGGUACCAGCUCUGAGGGGCGGGAGGGGGCCCCUAGCAGGCCAAGAGCUGGUGCAGUGCUCAGAGGAUGAGCUCAGAAAGUGGGCAGGGUGUGGGCUUGAGCUGGUUGGAAAGUCCGAGGCUGGGGGGUUGCUCUGGGAGCCAGAGCACUUUAGGAAAAGCUGCCAGAAUCGUUCAGACAAGCACUUGGGGGAAUUUCAGUUGUCCCCAAAGUACCUUUUAAUUUGAAAACAAUCAGGAGGCAGGUCAGAGGGUUUUUCAUCCUUUGGCAGUGAAUGGCAAUGACUGGGCUUGGAGAGCCUGGGCUGUGUUGUUCCAGGCUCCAAUUAGGUGUGAGAAGUGGCUGCCGGGGCUGCCAGCUGGGGAGGAGCCAGGCAGCUCAUCAUCCCUUGUCGUAUAAACACAAGGAGCUCUAGCACCAAGCCCAGAAAGACCAAUGAUACCAUUCAUCAUGCAAAACUUUCCAAACACUGGAGGAAGCUCCAGGUUCUGCAGGGAGUGUGUUCCCCAGAGAGCCUCACGUGACGGCACUCAGAGAUUUCUGAAACUAGAGAUGCCAGGGACAUAGCAAAUGUCAGUGAGAGGAUGGCGCUGAGCACCUUCCACCCGUCUCUCCAAGCCGGAGGGCACCAGGUCUCUACCCGGAGGAGGCGGGGAGGAGAGCUUCCGUGGGAGCCCCGUGACAGAAAUGAGUGGCUACUUUCCCGAGGAGGCUCCAGGGUAUGGGCUCUGGGUCAGGCUAUGCAGCUCCGAGCCGGUGAUCUUAACUUCAAGCCUCAGUGUUCCCAGUUGUAAAAUGGGAGGAUGAUAGUGCCAAAUCCAUGGUGUGGUGGUGAGAAUAAGUGAGACAACAGACCUGCGCAUGGAGUACAGUGCACUCAGUAGAAAAAAGGUUUGAAAAGUUAGAAUUGUAGUAAGUGUAAGCAAUAAGAGAAGUGUUAUAAGCCUAAGUGAGACGCUACAAACUGCUCUCCCAAGUUUCUGAGAGGCUUGAUUUAAAGACUGCCAGUUGGGUGCUGGGUGGCUCAGUCAGUUAAGCGUCUGCCUUCAGCUCAGGUCAUGAUCCCGGGGUCCUGGGAUCGAGCCCCGCGUCGGGCUCCACACUCAGCGGGAAGCCUGCUUCUCCCUCUCCCGCUCCCCCUGCUUGUGUUCCUGCUCUCGCUGUCUCUCUCUCUCUGUCAAAUAAAUAAAUAAAAUCUUAAAAAAAAAAAAUAAAGACUGCCAGUUAUAUAGCACUUUGAGUUGAGCCUGAGGAAGACUUUUUAAAAAGUUAGGUGUUGGGCGCCUGGGUGGCUCAGUUGGUUAAGCGACUGCCUUCGGCUCAGGUCAUGAUCCUGGAGUCCCGGGAUCGAGUCCCGCAUCGGGCUCCCUGCUCGGCAGGGAGUCUGCUCCUCCCUCUGACCUUCCCCCCUCUCAUGUGCUCUCUCUCAUUCUCUCUCUCUCAAAUAAAUAAAUAAAAUCUUUAAAAAAAAAAAGUUAGGUGUUAUCAGCAGCCCGUUUUAUAGAUGAAGACACUGACAUUUACAAAGUGGUGGUGUGCUUGAGUUCGUACAGCUAGUUGGUAAAAAAUGUCAAGAUUCAAAUCUGGGACUUUUGACGCCGACUCCUGUCUUCUCACGAGAGCACACAACAAGCCAACACAAAAAUUAUGUCAAACAUCUUCUAAAGCCAAAGUACGCAUAGCAUAGGUAUUAGAAGAAUAGAAAGAAAAAAAAAAUCCAUAAAUGCCCAAGUUCCCCAACUCAGAAUUUCCAUAAUGAUGAGGUGCUCCAGGUCACAUGGGCUGACCAGCACUGUGGACCCACCUGACCGGGAAGAAAUCCUCUUCUGAUUCCUCUAGAAGUCCCACAUCUGUGGCCAAGGGGCCAUUUGCAGUCACUUUCUAUGCAAUAUUUUCUUUGUUUUCCCCUUCACGUGGCAACCAAUGAGUCACACAACAUCUUCCUUUGUUAUUAUUAUUUUUCAUAAGAAGUCACUUCCACAGAAAUAAUAGAAAAUUUUUCACAGGGCAUAAAGUCCCUGAAGGAGACACUCAGAAAGCUGCAACCCCAUAGAAAGGAGACUUCUAACCACAAGGUCUUAGCAAACCCUAUUCUAAGGAGACUUGACCCCUCAAGGGGGAAGUCUUUAGGCAGAUGACACUGCAGUGAUUUCUUCACACCUGAUAGAGGCAUGACCUGCACUCCUCAAAGUUCCUCCUUCCCACCCAUGAACACCACCUUCGGCUGUAGCACUGUUAGAGUAAUGAUCUUCUUGUAGGGUAUCCAUAUAUUCACAUGCCUGCCUUACUUGGGAGGAGGGUCAGUAUCCUUCUGCGUUUGUCCCAUGCAGGGUCCGGCAUUGAUGGUGCUGCAAAACCAAAUAUAUUGAAAGAGGAAGAGAGUGUUCUUUUGUAUUCUGGAUCCUACUGUUGGUUUUACCAAAUGGUAUGUUAUUUUCUUUCAUCUGUAUGACCCGGAAGUUGUCUAGUGGGCCCCUGCCUCCUGGAGAAUCCAGCUCAGCUGAACUCAACCCUACUCUCCCGAAUCCAGAGCUGGUGGAAGCCUAGAGCCCCCUAAGAAUCCUGUGAAAUCCUGUGAGCCCAGUUCUCUCUCUGCCUGUUGGCUCAGUGCUAUACCUUGCCAGGAAACAACCGCCCCUUUUCUGAGUUCCCCUAAAAAGGAAAUAGGAGCUGAAAAGUCUUGAUUGAUGAUUUUGGAGUAGAAAUGGAGUCAUGACCCAGCAAGGCAAGGAAUUUGUGGCGGGAAUCAGCCCCAGCCCUCUUCACUGGCCUCUGCGGGCCAUGACCGGACACUUCCACCCUGGUGUCAUCUCUCCGUUUUGCUCUGUGUUCCUGAUACCUUCCCCUUCCCUUUCUUCCCUUGUCUUCUUAUCUUCCCUCUUCAUCUCCAAAGCAAAAAGGGAAGCUCAAUGCAGGCCAGCUGUACUCUCUUCUUUGAAGUUUUAUGGCCAUCAAGCACCCAAGCCCCUGAGGUCCCAAGAACGUUUCCAAAUGAUAGCUAUCAAGGUAAUGAAGAUUUCUUUCAUCUCCAAAUACAAGGAAAUUAAGCAGUUUAUAAAUAUUGCCUGACGGAAAGUCUUCUCAACGCUGUCUUACAUCAAGAGAAAGUGAAUGUUUUGAUAUUCUGAGGCAAAGUCAAAAUAGAAACGAAUUUUCAGCCCAUCAGCCCGAUUCUCUUCUGUACAGUGUAUGGGCCAAAGCCCUCCUGGGGUUACAGACAUCCGGGUCAGACUGUCCCCUCAGAGAAGUUCCUUUUCACCUCUGCCAGCCCCUUCUCUUAUUUUCCUUGCCUUCUCAUGAAAGAGAAACCCAGCAGUGAAAGGCUAAGUGGCGCAUGUCUCAAAUUCUGCGUGUCUCAAGCUCUGCAGCUCUGUCCCCACCCAGCUCUGGAGUGAGGACCUGGCCCCACUGGGGGUGCUGCCUGGGGAGAGGACGGGUCAUCCGAGAUACAGGGCUCACUGACAGUUGCUGUGCAAACAGCCUCUGUGCUGGAAUUUGAGGAAAUAGUGUUGCUAUUUUGGGGUCUGUCAAGAGAGUGCUAGCCACUUUGAUCAUUUAAAACCCUAAUUGACUUUCAUCCCUCACAUCCAUUGCAGGAAAGUGCUAAGCCUUCCUGGGGCUUUCUUCUUCCUUUGAUUGGCAGCCUGGGGCAAGUCUCUUUUCCCAAGACUCUGGGUUCCAAGUAACCAAUCUGCAGGGGAACUUUCAGAAUCCUAUUUAAUUUUAAUGCAGAAUUAACUGCUUUUCAUUGUUGGUUGUCUUCACCCAAAGCCUUUAACCUCCUAGUUCCCGGUUCUCCUUUAACCCCAUCCCUCUCCAAACCCAUUCAAGCAUUUAAAGGGAAAUAAAUCCAUGGAAAUAAUUCUUAACCCUAAACACCUACAUUUCACUGAAGCCAGUGAAAUAGGCCAGUCAGUUAAACUUUCCCAGUGCUCCUCUCUCCACACCCAAACCCAAAAAGUAUCCCAGCUUUGUUUGUUUUUAAUGUGUCUAUUUUUCUUGUUAAAAAUAGAUGUCCCUGGAUGUCAUCCGUGUCACAAAAAUAAAACUCAUUUGCAAAACUGAAAAAGAACCUAAUGCCAAGAAAUUGUAUUUAGAUCGAUCUGGAGGGGCAAGUGCAAACGGGUUAAGUGUUAAGAAUGAUGGCCAUUGAUGAGGUAUCUGCUUGAUGAUACUCAGACAGGGAAACUAAAGGGACCCCAUGAAAAACUGCUUUUUUCACUCCUUUUCUUGCUUCUAUUUUUGCUAGGACCUACACACCUGCCUUACAUACACCUUAUAGAACAGACAAUGUAUGUCCUCCUUGUGAAGGUCAAGGAUUUAAUGAUUUCUUUGGAAUCUUUCAACACAGUAGAGACCAUCUAAGGAGUGACUGGGCAGGGUCAUCAGGAAUGUUUUCCAAGACCCCUGACUCAUCAAGACCCCUUGCUCCAGGUAAUAAGUGAUUUAUGGAGAACACCUAAAUACUCCUCUGUCUUUGUUCCUGGAUUACUGAGAAGACACGUGCACCAGACCACCCUCCUCAAUAAAAACUCCAGGCCCCAGGCAAAGAUGAGACUCAUGCUUCUUUUCUUUCUGAGUCUCCCUGGCCCUCUGUCCAUAUCUACACUCACUCUCUGUCUUCAGUAAACUCUGCUCUUACUUCCUCUCAGCUUGAGUUUGUUUUCUAUACUUCUCAAAGCCAAGGACCCUCUUGGCUGGUCCUGUAAGAACCCCACUCUGGGUUCUUGGACCCAGCCUGGCUGCAUCAAUAUUAACCUCAAAGUGCUACAGGCCUAACAAAAGGGAACAGGCCUUCAGUCAUAAUAUGAAUAAGGUCUGAGAAUCUAAUGUAUAACAUGGUGACCAAAGUUGAUAGAACUCUAUUGUAUAAUUGAAAUUUGCUGAGAGAACACAACUUAAAUGUUCUCACCCCCCCCCAAAAGAGAAGCUAAAUGUGUGAAGUGAUAGAUGGCUUAGUGAGCUUGAUGGAGGUACCCUUUCACAAUGUACACAUAUAUCGGAUCAUCGGGGUGCACACCUUAAAUAUCUUAUAAUUUUGUCAAUUGUACUUCAAUAAAGCUGGAAAAAAAUGCUAUGGGUGUGUAUUUGUCCUCAAAAACAGAAUAAUUUAAUCAGAUUCUAUUUUCAGUCCUUCGGAGGAUGGAGUAGAUGGAGGAAGAUGAAAAAAACUUUGCUUCUAGCAACCCCCAUAGUCACAUAGUGAUUUUAAUUAAGGCAACCUGAUCAGACAGUGGCUCCCCCUCCCCCUCCCAGGGGUCACAGAAUCAAGCAUCUCCACAAGAUGACUGAUAGUUUGUCUGCAGUGUGCCUAUUUUAGAGCUAUUCCUACAAUUUCCAACCAGCUAUAGAUACUACUGGCACUCAUUAAGAGAAAAAGACUGGAUUCUUAAGAAACCAAAAAUGCCAAUUCUUUGAAUCAAUUCAGUGUUCUUAGCUGUGAUUAGGAAUGGCACUAGCUUCUACUUAUAAGAAUCAGGACUUUGCUGUUUCCCUGAAGUCACUGUCAAAUAUGAGAAGAACCAAGAAAUGAGUUUGGUAGGAUGCGUACUAAAUCAUGAUGCUUCUCGCAGAGUGAUUUCCAAGAAAUUUCCUGAACAUUGUCCAGAUUGGCAGAAAGAAUAGAGUAUAUUUCCUGUGGCUUAGAUAAAAUUCUUACAAUUAGAGCACCUCUGAAGAAGAAAUGUUUGAACCCCAAUAAGGUACAAGGUUCACAUCAGUGAGCAUUCAGUGUCACAGGCUGGGUCCCUGGAUAGCAGACAUGAACACAGAGAUUAGUGUGUAGGAGGUUUCUGAAGGAAUGCUCUUGGGAUUGACACCUGUAGAAGAAAAUAGAAGAAAACAGGAUUGGGCAUAGGGAGCAGUUGAACUUGGAUGCUAGAUUGGAUAUCUCAGUGGAAGACACAGUCAUCCCUGUAGUGAAUUCUGAAGAUGGGAUCGUGUUCAGAGGGGUGCCCCCUGCAGGAGGAGGGAACAUACUCUAUAGCCCUGUUGAUUAGUUAUUGGAUAUGGGCUUCCCAGGAAGGAGAUGGGGCCUUUAGGGUGGGGGCCUCUUUUCAGCUGAGGCAAUCCCAAUGGGGGUGAACAGCCAACAGCAGUUUGUCUGAAACACUCCCUGUAGGAUUAGGUCUUUUGUUCUUGAAGAGAGAUCUGGGAGGUGCAUCCCAGUGUCUACACCUUUGAGUGACAUGAAAGCGAAGGAGUUAAGGUAAACAGUUGUUGCUAUGAAAGCUGGUAGAAUUUUUCUCAUUUUUGCAGCAAAUACAGGAAUAAGAAUGCACUCAGUCGGGUAAGUUUUUUUCCCCUUCACAUUUGGCAAGAUAUUCCUUCACGAAGAACAAUCUGUUGCUGAUUUAGCACUGCGAGUGGAUAUCCUUGGUUUACCUGAAUUGUGAUCAAAAAAGUAUAAAUAUUCUUAUCCAAAUCCACUUUAAAAAAAGGACGGGGAGAUGGGGUAGAUAAGCUAUUCCUAGAGGACAACUUAGGACCCAAGCCAAGGCCCAGGCAGAGGCAAGGAGGUCCUCAUUUUUCAUAGGACUGGUCCUGCCACUUUUUACUUGGGCUCUCCAGGCUCUUACGUGGAGAAGGUACAAUGCUGCCAGAAUGUGGAGGGAUUUGAAGGCAUUUUGUUUGUUUGUUUGUUUGUUUUUACAAAGAAUUUGGCAGUGCCCAUGGCCUUUUGGUAGUUUCUCAUUCUCUGGAGAUCUAUGUUUAUUUUUUUCUAAACAUAAGAAACACAGAUAUUGGGGCACCUGGGUAGCUCAGUCGGUUAAGCGUCUGCCUUUGGCUCAGGUCAUGAUCUUGGGGUCCCGGGAUCCAGCCUCGCAUCAGGCUCUCUGCUCAGCAAGGAGUCUGCUUCUCUCUCUCCCUCUGCCCAUCCCCUCCUGCUCUCUCUCGCUCUUUUUCUCUUCUAUCAAAUAAAUAAAUAAAAUCUUAAAAAAAAGAAACAUAUUUUAUAGUACAUGCAUUUUAUAAUUCUAAUUUGAAAUUUUUGUGCUCUGAUUCUAUUGUCUGUUACUUCUGCUUAUUCUCAUUCAGGUUACCUUGUUUAUGUGACUGAUCAUAUUUGACCGUAUGUUGGUCAUUGUACUUGAAAAAUAAUUUAGGAAUGACUGAUGUCUGAGAUGAUGGAACUUUUCUCUGGGGAAUAUUUUUUUAUCUAUUCCUGGAACAUUACAGGUAAGGGACCUGCUUAGUCCAAGUUCAACACUUGUGGUUCCUGGGACCAUCCAGGUGAUAGAAACCUGGGCUGCAAAUCUACACAAGGGCCAGUUUAUUUUUGGCUUUCCAUUUGCCUGAGGGUAUAGGCCUUUGGAUCCCAUUGUAAUAUAUUUGGGGAGGAAAUGGGGACUCCCUACCAUGGGUGGGCUCCAGGCUUUGACAUCUUUUUGUUUCCUUUUCGCCAAAACAGCACCUCGGUUUUGCGUGUUUCUUCAGGUUGAUAAUUGCUGUUAAGUCAAACUAGGUUCCUGUUUGCCUUCCUGGGAUUUUGCCUUCUAGAGUUUUACAGAUUAACUCAUUAUCUUAUUAACUCCCAGAUAUUUUAAUUAAAAUAAAGUCAACAAUUAAUUUCACUCAGAUUUUUUUUUUUUAAGUUGUUCUUAUUGGAAAGGAAGAAACCUCUGGUUCUUCUUAUCUAUGGCCAAACCCUGCGGUAUUCUUUAUGAGAAUU